UACGGAGGGUGCAAACGUUGCUCGGAAUCAUUGGGCGUAAAGCGCACGUAGGUGGCUUGUUAAGUCGGGUGUGAAAUCCCUGGGCUCAACCCAGGAAGUGCACUCGAAACUGGCGAGCUUGAGUACUGAAGAGGGUCGCGGAAUUCCCGGUGUAGAGGUGAAAUUCGUAGAUAUCAGGAGGAACACCAGUGGCGAAGGCGGCUUUCUGGACGAUAACUGACGCUGAGACGGCGAAAAGCGUGGGGAGCAAACAGGG
rnacentral:rRNA from 1 species